rnacentral:siRNA from 1 species
UGGAAGUGCCUAAAACGU